GCUGGGCGUGGUGGUGGGCGCCUGUAGUCCCAGGUACUUGGGAGGCUGAGGCAGGAGAAUUGCUUGAACCUGGGAGGUGGAGGUUGCAGUGAGCCGAGAUCGUGCCACUGCACUCUAGCCUGGGUGACAGAGCAAGACUCUGUCUCAA
rnacentral:sRNA from 1 species